rnacentral:rRNA from 1 species
GACGAACGCUGGCGGCGUGCCUAAUACAUGCAAGUCGAGCGGACAGAAGGGAGCUUGCUCCCGGAUGUUAGCGGCGGACGGGUGAGUAACACGUGGGUAACCUGCCUGUAAGACUGGGAUAACUCCGGGAAACCGGAGCUAAUACCGGAUAGUUCCUUGAACCGCAUGGUUCAAGGAUGAAAGACGGUUUCGGCUGUCACUUACAGAUGGACCCGCGGCGCAUUAGCUAGUUGGUGAGGUAACGGCUCACCAAGGCAACGAUGCGUAGCCGACCUGAGAGGGUGAUCGGCCACACUGGGACUGAGACACGGCCAGACUCCUACGGGAGGCAGCAGUAGGGAAUCUUCCGCAAUGGACGAAAGUCUGACGGAGCAACGCCGCGUGAGUGAUGAAGGUUUUCGGAUCGUAAAGCUCUGUUGUUAGGGAAGAACAAGUGCAAGAGUAACUGCUUGCACCUUGACGGUACCUAACCAGAAAGCCACGGCUAACUACGUGCCAGCAGCCGCGGUAAUACGUAGGUGGCAAGCGUUGUCCGGAAUUAUUGGGCGUAAAGGGCUCGCAGGCGGUUUCUUAAGUCUGAUGUGAAAGCCCCCGGCUCAACCGGGGAGGGUCAUUGGAAACUGGGAAACUUGAGUGCAGAAGAGGAGAGUGGAAUUCCACGUGUAGCGGUGAAAUGCGUAGAGAUGUGGAGGAACACCAGUGGCGAAGGCGACUCUCUGGCCUGUAACUGACGCUGAGGAGCGAAAGCGUGGGGAGCGAACAGGAUUAGAUACCCUGGUAGUCCACGCCGUAAACGAUGAGUGCUAAGUGUUAGGGGGUUUCCGCCCCUUAGUGCUGCAGCUAACGCAUUAAGCACUCCGCCUGGGGAGUACGGUCGCAAGACUGAAACUCAAAGGAAUUGACGGGGGCCCGCACAAGCGGUGGAGCAUGUGGUUUAAUUCGAAGCAACGCGAAGAACCUUACCAGGUCUUGACAUCCUCUGACAACCCUAGAGAAGGGCUUUCCCUUCGGGGACAGAGUGACAGGUGGUGCAUGGUUGUCGUCAGCUCGUGUCGUGAGAUGUUGGGUUAAGUCCCGCAACGAGCGCAACCCUUGAUCUUAGUUGCCAGCAUUCAGUUGGGCACCUAAGGUGACUGCCGGUGACAAACCGGAGGAAGGUGGGGAUGACGUCAAAUCAUCAUGCCCCUUAUGACCUGGGCUACACACGUGCUACAAUGGACAGAACAAAGGGCUGCGAGACCGCAAGGUUUAGCCAAUCCCACAAAUCUGUUCUCAGUUCGGAUCGCAGUCUGCAACUCGACUGCGUGAAGCUGGAAUCGCUAGUAAUCGCGGAUCAGCAUGCCGCGGUGAAUACGUUCCCGGGCCUUGUACACACCGCCCGUCACACCACGAGAGUUUGCAACACCCGAAGUCGGUGAGGUAACCUUUAUGGAGCCAGCCGCCGAAGGUGGGGCAGAUGAUUGGGGUG